ensembl:snoRNA
AGCACUAUUUUUAAACCUGUUGGUGGAAUUUUCUGACCACCAUGGGUUACGCUGUAGUGCAAAAGAAUCUCCUGGCUCUUCACAGCACAGCUGACCUUGCUCUGUUCAGCUCGUGCUCCUCUAAAGCUAAGGAACAGAA